UACGAAGGGGGCUAGCGUUGUUCGGAAUUACUGGGCGUAAAGGGUGCGUAGGUGGUUUUUUAAGUCCGUUGUGAAAUCCCUGGGCUCAACCUGGGAAUGGCAGUGGAUACUGGAAAGCUAGAGUGCGGUAGAGGGUAGUGGAAUUCCCGGUGUAGCAGUGAAAUGCGUAGAGAUCGGGAGGAACACCAGUGGCGAAGGCGGCUACCUGGACCAGCACUGACACUGAAGCACGAAAGCGUGGGGAGCAAACAGG
rnacentral:rRNA from 1 species